rnacentral:lncRNA from 1 species
UGCUGGUUCAUUAUUUUAACGAAUAUUUAUAUACAUUUAUAUAAGAAAGAAAAAAAGUUUUUUUUGUUCAAGGUUAUAUGGUCGACAGACUUGGUCUUUUAUCGUUUUGUGCUGUCCAGUUUCCUACUUUUUAAUUUUUAUAGAUAGUCGUUUUGCCUUUGUGAUUCGUAAAAGAAGUCAACCUUUGUUGUGGUGUCCUCCUAUUUUGUAUAGACUCUAGAGGUUACUUCAAUAGUAUUUGUUUUCUCUGCACAAUCCAAUGUCU